rnacentral:misc_RNA from 1 species
AACGCACAUUGCACCCUUUGGUAUUCCGGAGGGUAUGCCUGUUCGAGCGUCAUUUCAACUCUCAAGCACUGCUUGGUAUUGGAUGCUAUCAUUUUGUGGUGUGUCCCAAAAGUAUUGGCAGUGGCAUACAGCUUCUAGUGUAGUAAUAUUCUCGCUUUGGAGGUGGGUGUCACUGCUGGAACCCUCACUUAUCAAUAGUUGACCUCGGAUCAGGUAGGGAUACCCGCUGAACUUAA